rnacentral:rRNA from 1 species
UACGUAGGGGGCGAGCGUUGUCCGGAUUUAUUGGGCGUAAAGGGCUCGUAGGCGGCCAACUAAGUCGGAUGUGAAAUCCCCAGGCUUAACCUGGGAACUGCAUCCGAUACUGGAUGGCUUGAAUCCGGGAGAGGGAUGCAGAAUUCCAGGUGUAGCGGUGAAAUGCGUAGAUAUCUGGAGGAAUACCGGUGGCGAAGGCGGCAUCCUGGACCGGCAUUGACGCUGAUGAGCGAAAGCUAGGGGAGCAAACGGG